CCGGCGUGGGGGAUGAAGGGCUUCGGCUUGUAAACCCCUGUCACUUGGGAUCAAAAGUUUCAACCUAAUACGUUGAGGCCUGAUAGUACCAGGAGAGGAAGGCACGGCUAACUCUGUGCCAGCAGCCGCGGUAAUACAGAGGUGCCAAGCGUUGUUCGGAUUUACUGGGCGUAAAGGGUGCGUAGGCGGCCAGACAAGUCGGAUGUGAAAUCCCGGAGCCUAACUCCGGAAUGGCAUCCGAAACUGUCUGGCUCGAGGUCUGGAGAGGUGACUGGAAUGCUCGGUGUAGCAGUGAAAUGCGUAGAUAUCGAGUAGAACACCAGAGGCGAAAGCGGGUCACUGGACAGAUUCUGACGCUGAGGCACGAAAGCCAGGGGAGCAAACGGGAUUAGAUACCCCGGUAGUCCUGGCUGUAAACGGUGCGCAUUUGAGGUGGGAGGAUUCGACCCCUUCUGUCUCGUAGCUAACGCGUUAAAUGCGCCGCCUGGGGAGUACGGUCGCAAGAUUA
rnacentral:rRNA from 1 species